rnacentral:misc_RNA from 1 species
GGUUAAAUCCUCAGAAAUGUGUAUAAUUGCAAAUCUCCUAGUCUUGAAAGGAAAAAUCUAUCAACUAUGUAUAAAGGUACUUGUAAUCCUCUCUUUUGUAGUGAAAAAUUGUAAGGUCUCUUCUUGGAUGUAGGCACAUCAUUGAGGUAUGUAAAAUUCCUUGUGUCAUGUUAUUCUCUCUUGCUGUGAUCAUUAUUCUAAUCUAAGAGUGCUUGCGCACGUGUGUCUUGAGUAAUUUUUCAACAAUUCCAUGUUGUACUUGUACAUGUAUUUUAUAUUUUCCAAAGUUUCUGCUCUGUUCUGUCUCUGUCUCCAGUGUUCUUCCUUUUGUGCCCCAAAUUCCAUAAAUAGGAUUAUGAGGAGAUCCUCAGUAUAUUUCUUAGGCUCAAUGAUCUUAAGACAACCCCAACUAGUACUUUUGGUUGAUGGAUCAGUACUGUCCUAAAAGGUAUCAAAACCAACCCAUGGCCACUAGGCCACUACGUGUGAUGUGUAGUUAUUUAUCCAGGACUUUCAACAGGC